rnacentral:snRNA from 1 species
AUGCUCGCUUCGGCAGCACAUAUACUAAAAUUGGAGCGAUACAGAGAAGACUAGCAGGGCCCCUGCACAAGGAUGACACGCAAAGUCGUGAAGCGUUCCAUGUUCUA